rnacentral:rRNA from 1 species
AAUAUGUGACGGCGUGCCUUUUGCAUAAUGAGCCUACGAGUUACUCCUUACUGGCAAGGUUAAGUACUUAAGUUACGGAGCCGCAGCGAAAGCGAGUUCUAACAGAGCGCCAGUCAGUAGGGGUAGACGCGAAACUUUGUGAUCUAUCCAUGGGCAGGUUGAAGGUUUGGUAACACAAACUGGAGGACCGAACUCAUUAGCGUUGAAAAGCUAUGGGAUGACCUGUGGAUAGGGGUGAAAGGCCAAUCAAACUGAGAGAUAGCUCGUUCUCCCCGAAAUGUUUUUAGGAACAGCCUCGUACAUAGAGUUAUCAUAGAGGUAGAGCUACUAAUUGGGCUAGGGGGCUUCACCGCCUACCAAACCCUAAUAAACUCCGAAUGCUAUGAUAUAUCUGCGGGAGUGAGGCUGUGGGCGCUAAGGUCCAUGGCCGAGAGGGAAAUAACCCAGAUUAACAGCUAAGGUCCCUAAUCGUAUGUUAAGUUGAACAAACGAAGUUCAAAUCCUAUAACAGCCAGGAUGUUGGCUUGGAAGCAGCCAUUCAUUUAAAGAGUGCGUAACAGCUCACUGGUCGAGGGUUUGAGCACGGAAAAUAAUCGGGCAUCAAACAUACAACCGAAGCUUUAGGAUUGCUGGCGAUGUCAGUAAUCGGUAGGGGAGCAUUCUAAACUGCAUUGAAGGUGUA